ACAAAACUACCAAAAACAAGAUCUUAAUUUCCACCAUUUUUGAACAUUGAAUCUGCAAAAAGAAAGAGAUUAGAGAAAAAUGUGAUCUGUCCUUUUUGUUCCUAUCUUGAUCUCGUUUUCUUUUCCUUUCCCUUAAACAUUUCAUCCAUGGGAAGGAAAUUUCCGGCAGGGGAAAAUCUAACAAUCAAUCCAAUAUUAUCAUUGUCAC
rnacentral:lncRNA from 1 species